UUGUUUAAGUUUCUGUAAUUACCUUGCUCCGAAUAUAUUCUCAAUGAGUUCUUAGCCUAACUUAUACCACCUCCAUGUGAUUAUAUUCAUCUUGAUUGCUCAAGACUUCCCUCUUUCUAUUGAUAUUGUUGAACCUGUAUGUCUGCUAUGUCUAGUUGCUCUUACUCUAUUUAAAUAUUGACCAUUGAAUCAUGAGUUCCUCUUGAUUGAUUCAGGAUUCCUUAUUUUAUGGUUUGAUUGAAAGAUCUUCCUUUAAACCUUAAAUUCUACCUCGUCAAGUUAAAUUAACUGAUUCACCAACCUUGUUCGCUGUGACAAUUUAUUCUUACUGAACUAUUUCCUUAAUAUGAGUUUUCUAAACUUAGCCCUAAUUGUUUACCUUGUACUUACUGAAUUUAAAUCUUUCUUUAUU
rnacentral:lncRNA from 1 species